rnacentral:sRNA from 1 species
GCUGGGCGUGGUGGUGCAUGCCUGUAAUCCCAGCUACUCGGGAGGCUGAGGCAGGAGAAUCGCUUGAACCUGGGAGGUGGAGGUUGCAGUGAGCCAAGAUUGCUGCACUGCACUCCAGCCUGGGUGACACAGUGAGACUCCGUCUCAA